GCAAGUGCGAAAGCAAAACAACUGAAGCUGAACCGGUCGAAUGUGAGCUUCAACUCACUUUACUCUCUCGCUCUCCCUCGAAUUCGCUCGACUUCUCUCAACCUUUGCCGAUGUCACGUGCUCACACGAGCACAUUCUACAGUCGAGAGCAGUCAUUGAACGGCUGUUGGCAGCGGGGCAGACAACGCAGCUGCGUGUGCAGCUCGUGUGAUAAGAGAUUAUGGCUAAGCCUUUUGAAUGACAUCUUUUACAAUAUUUACAGUUAACUGUAAACACAUUUACAUAGUAAAUUCGCAUAUUGACGACCAACGCGACCAGCACGCUUCAAUUAAAGGCCAUGAACCAGGCAAAAGCUUUUUGCCAGGCAACAGCAACAAAAGCUAUCGGUGGAGCAGUUCGACAAUCUCAAGAACUGUUAUACAGAAGAUGGGAAAUAUAGCUAAAUAUGUACAUAUUUUGUUUGCUUGACACUUAACUAAAGCAAUAUGCGCUUAUCGCUCGGGAUAAUCGGAGGAAAUAAAGUUUUAUUGAGUCUCGUA